GCCAACGCUGCCGCCGCCAUCUUCUCCUUCCCGGGGCGCUGCCGCUGUUGGGUUGGGGCUGCCCGCUUGGGUGUGCUCCGUGUGCUCGGGUGUGUUCCCUCCGCUCGCCCUGCCGCCUCUCAGCCCCUCGGCUUCCCCUCAGCUUCCCCUCAGCCCCUCGCCCACCCACUGCCCUUCCUCCGGGCAGCAGCCCCGCGGCGCCCCGAGAGCAGCUGCUGCGGCGCCGCGGAGUAAGGGAGCCUUUCGCUGCCCUUCCGCGCCAUUUUAAGCCCCGGCUGUAACACUGAGAGGAGCCUGGUCACAGGUUUCCCUGAGGGCGAUUUCCUGGCGGUUCAGCCCUACCUCACUAGGGAUAAAGAAAUAAAGAUUUGUGAGUUAUUUUUUUGUUUUCCUGAAGAGAUUUGAUGUUGGUUUCCACCACGCAGAAAAGGCUGGUGUCAGGUGUGGGGCACCUCAGGGUUUGGCAGGGCUACACAGCACCAUCCUGCCCCUGACAUGUAGGGAAAGCCAGGGGUUGUGCAGGAGCCUGCUUUAAGCCUUCCUGUGCUCAAAAUGUGAGCCUAGAUCGUGAUAAACACGAAAAAGGUUUCUCAAAGGAUCUGAAUUCUGCUGCCAGUUUCUAGAGGAUAUGUGUUACUCCCUUGAGCUUGGCUGUAGGCAGAGUGUAAAAUACGAGGGAAGGGCAGCUUCUCCAGGCAAGAAGCCAUGGAGGUGGUGGACAAGUCCCCACAGGCAUUCUGACUCCCUUGGCUGCAACAGGGCCUCAUGUGGUUUCCUUGGCUACAACACAACACAGGAGUCGCUGCCCUGCUGGAAGUCUCAGCCACAGAGGAAAACUGAGAACACAAGGUAUCCAAGCCACCAGUUCCCAUGGACACUGCUGCUGCUCAGGCAGGGAACUUCUCUUCAUGGCUGACCUGGCAAACACAGCCCCAGCAUUGCAAAGCCAUGAUCUUUUUCAGGAAGGAAAACACCUCACCUGGGGACAAAUAAGUGUCAAAGUACAACAGUUCUCCAUGGGCAGAAUUUGUUGUUACCACUCUCCUGCCAAAAGCCCACUCAGCCCUGUCCAGAGAAGGUCAGCAGGGAGGGAAAGCUGUCCUGCAUGUUCUCUGUCAGCAGCAAAAUGGACAGGCAUCAGCAGUGACCAGGAAGGCAAGUGUUUAUUCUGCAGUUGGAAAGGAGAUUCAUCUGCUGUGGCUGUUUCAGCAAACCCUUGGAAUUGCCAGCAGCAAAUGUAA
rnacentral:lncRNA from 1 species